GGCGAACGGGUGAGUAACACGUGAGUAACCUGCCCUUGACUUCGGGAUAAGCCUGGGAAACUGGGUCUAAUACCGGAUAUGCACCGUGGACCGCAUGGUCCUUGGUGGAAAGAUUUUUGGUCAGGGAUGGACUCGCGGCCUAUCAGCUUGUUGGUGAGGUAAUGGCUCACCAAGGCGACGACGGGUAGCCGGCCUGAGAGGGUGACCGGCCACACUGGGACUGAGACACGGCCCAG
rnacentral:rRNA from 1 species